rnacentral:rRNA from 1 species
UUUGGGGGUCAGCAGGCAGAUUCAAUUUUCUGCCACCGAAUACAUUAGCAUGGGAUAAUGGAAUAGGACCCUGUCCUCCUAUUUUCAGUUGGUUUUGGCAGCGCGAGGACUAGGGUAAUGAUUAAUAGGGAUAGUUGGGGGCAUUAAUAUUUAAUUGUCAGAGGUGAAAUUCUUGGAUUUAUGAAAGAUUAACUUCUGCGAAAGCAUCUGCCAAGGAUGUUUUCAUUAAUCAAGAACGAAAGUUAGGGGAUCGAAGACGAUCAGAUACCGUCGUAGUCUUAACCAUAAACGAUGCCGACCAGCGAUUAGGAGACGUUGAAUACAAAACACCACCAUCGGCGCGGUCGCCCUUGGCGUUCGUGUUCACGCACGGGCGCGAGGGCGGCUUAGCCCGAUGGCACCGGUGAAUGACUCCCCUACCACUUUGCGAGAAAGAA